CCUUACUUCCCUAUCUAUAUGUUUUAGUUAGUGGUUUUAGGAAUUACUUUUGAUUAGGUGAUACGACUAGAUCCUGUCAGUGGCGCCUAUGUUGUUUUCUCACCAAAUCUACCUUAUGCUGCAUAUCUAUGCCCUAGAUGGCCAGAUGUGAAGCAGUUCUCCAAGACCAUGCUGAGGUCAAUAUAAAAGGAGGAUAAGGAGGCCAUUCUUGGGGUGCAUACGUUCAAUGUUGAAUGCAUCCUUACCUUGCUGUCUGAGGCGAUGCUGAGAGUAGAUGGGCUGAAAAAGCUGUACGCCCGCAAACAGGAAGAGGCGGACUCCAUCAGAAGUCUGACGGCUGCGCUGGAUGAGGCAAACAAGAAAUCCUCCGACUUUGAGGCAACACUCAAGAAUGCUCAGUCGGACAUUAAGGCUUUGGAGGGCGCUAACAAGGAGAACACCACUCUUCGAGCAGACGUCGACCGCCUGAAGAAUGAACUGGUGGCUUCCCACUCCAAUUACCAAAUGGCUCUUAAGGCUGAGCAAAGCCGCCUCAUUGAGGAGAAUGAAUAAGACAGCGAAGACCAGAUGAAGAUGGCAUGAGACCUUGUGCAUUCGGGAACCGAAUAGGGUGUCUUUGCCUCAAGAUACCAAUAUGCAUAUCUUGUUCUCACAACAAGGGCGGAGGGGAAGCCGGAGCUUGAGCCGUUUGAGGAAUGGAUGAAUAGGGAGGCCUCAAACGUUGAGGAGUCGGUUCAGGGCGAGGGGGAGGGAGAGAAAGAGAACGAGGUAGAGGAAGCACAGGUGAACUCUACUUUACCUCAGCUUGGGAAAAGCGCGUCGGUGGCCCCGCCUUAGUAAGAUUAGCUUUUAAUUCUUUCUCUUUGGUCUUAAGCCGUUUGCAUUUCCGGCUGGCACGCAUAUUCAUGUUUGUAUUUAUCAACAAUCUUUUAAUUCUCCAGGACGUAGAUCCGGUUUGAAAAUCUCUCCCGUCUUUCAGGUCGGGUUUUAUUUAUGAAGUAGCCGAGUGAGUCGGUCUUGUUUCAAUUUUGCUUCAAUUUUUAAUUUGAGAUUCUUUGGU